rnacentral:rRNA from 1 species
UACGGAGAGUGCUAGCGUUGUUCGGAAUUACUGGGCGUAAAGGGCGUCUAGGCGGCCUGACAAGUCAGGUGUGAAAUGCCUGGGCUCAACCGAGGACGUGCAUCUGAAACUAACAGGCUCGAGUAUCGGAGGGGGCAGCGGAAUUCCCGGUGUAGAGGUGAAAUUCGUAGAUAUCGGGAGGAACACCAGUGGCGAAGGCGGCUGCCUGGCCGGAUACUGACGCUGAAGCGCGAAAGCGUGGGGAGCAAACAGG